AGCGGCGAACGGGUGAGUAACACGUGGGUGAUCUGCCUUGCACUUCGGGAUAAGCCUGGGAAACUGGGUCUAAUACCGGAUAUGACCUNGGAAUGCAUGUUCUGGGGUGGAAAGAUUUAUCGGUGCGAGAUGGGCCCGCGGCCUAUCAGCUUGUUGGUGAGGUAACGGCUCACCAAGGCGACGACGGGUAGCCGACCUGAGAGGGUGACCGGCCACACUGGGACUGAGACACGGCCCAGACUCCUACGGGAGGCAGCAGUGGGGAAUAUUGCACAAUGGGCGCAAGCCUGAUGCAGCGACGCCGCGUGCGGGAUGACGGCCUUCGGGUUGUAAACCGCUUUUGACAGGGACGAAGCGCAAGUGACUGUACCUGUAGAAUAAGGACCGGCCAACUACGUGCCAGCAGCCGCGGUAAUACGUAGGGUCCGAGCGUUGUCCGGAAUUACUGGGCGUAAAGAGCUUGUAGGCGGUUCGUCGCGUCGUUUGUGAAAACUUGGGGCUCAACCUUAAGCUUGCAGGCGAUACGGGCGGACUAGAGUACUUCAGGGGAGACUGGAAUUCCUGGUGUAGCGGUGAAAUGCGCAGAUAUCAGGAGGAACACCGGUGGCGAAGGCGGGUCUCUGGGAAGUAACUGACGCUGAGAAGCGAAAGCAUGGGUAGCAAACAGGAUUAGAUACCCUGGUAGUCCAUGCCGUAAACGGUGGGUACUAGGUGUGGGGCUCCUUCCACGGACUCCGUGCCGUAGCUAACGCAUUAAGUACCCCGCCUGGGGAGUACGGCCGCAAGGCUAAAACUCAAAGAAAUUGACGGGGGCCCGCACAAGCGGCGGAGCAUGUGGAUUAAUUCGAUGCAACGCGAAGAACCUUACCUGGGUUUGACAUACACCGGAAACCUGCAGAGAUGUAGGCCCCCUUGUGGUCGGUGUACAGGUGGUGCAUGGCUGUCGUCAGCUCGUGUCGUGAGAUGUUGGGUUAAGUCCCGCAACGAGCGCAACCCUUAUCUUAUGUUGCCAGCGCGUAAUGGCGGGGACUCGUGAGAGACUGCCGGGGUCAACUCGGAGGAAGGUGGGGACGACGUCAAGUCAUCAUGCCCCUUAUGUCCAGGGCUUCACACAUGCUACAAUGGCCGGUACAGAGGGCUGCGAUACCGCGAGGUGGAGCGAAUCCCUUAAAGCCGGUCUCAGUUCGGAUCGGGGUCUGCAACUCGACCCCGUGAAGUUGGAGUCGCUAGUAAUCGCAGAUCAGCAACGCUGCGGUGAAUACGUUCCCGGGCCUUGUACACACCGCCCGUCACGUCAUGAAAGUCGGUAACACCCGAAGCCGGUG
rnacentral:rRNA from 1 species